rnacentral:sRNA from 1 species
AGAACUGGUCAGAAUCUGCUGAAUAUACCACCUCUGGUUGAUUCAGCAGAUCUGGCUGGCUGGGUGCAUGUCCCCUUCCUCCAUCACUGCUCCAUGUGCGUCCCUCCCGAAACUGCAUGCUCAGUGGAACACGACAGCCACCCCAGAUAGAAGGGGUAUACCAAUCUUCGGUCAAGGGCAGGGGUGGGAUGCUACCGGUUCAGCCUGGUUCUAUAGAACUGGUAGCUCUGAAGAGCAGCAGACACUGAACCGGUUCAGUGCAACAAACUUU